GAUGAACGCUGGCGGCGUGCCUAAUACAUGCAAGUCGAGCGAACAGAUGAGGAGCUUGCUCCUCUGACGUUAGCGGCGGACGGGUGAGUAACACGUGGAUAACCUACCUAUAAGACUGGGAUAACUUCGGGAAACCGGAGCUAAUAUCGGAUAAUAUAUUGAACCGCGUGGUUCAAUAGUGAAAGACGGUUUUGCUGUCACUUAUAGAUGGAUCCGCGCCGCAUUAGCUAGUUGGUAAGGUAACGGCUUACCAAGGCAACGAUGCGUAGCCGACCUGAGAGGGUGAUCGGCCACACUGGAACUGAGACACGGUCCAGACUCCUACGGGAGGCAGCAGUAGGGAAUCUUCCGCAAUGGGCGAAAGCCUGACGGAGCAACGCCGCGUGAGUGAUGAAGGUCUUCGGAUCGUAAAACUCUGUUAUUAGGGAAGAACAAAUGUGUAAGUAACUAUGCACGUCUUGACGGUACCUAAUCAGAAAGCCACGGCUAACUACGUG
rnacentral:rRNA from 1 species